rnacentral:rRNA from 1 species
ACGCACGCUGGCGGCGUGCUUCACCCCUGCAAGUCGCACGGAAAGGCCCUGCUUUUGUGGGGUGCUCGAGUGGCGAACGGGUGAGUAACACGUGAGUAACCUGCCCUUGACUUUGGGAUAACUUCAGGAAACUGGGGCUAAUACCGGAUAGGAGCUCCUGCUGCAUGGUGGGGGUUGGAAAGUUUCGGCGGUUGGGGAUGGACUCGCGGCUUAUCAGCUUGUUGGUGGGGUAGUGGCUUACCAAGGCUUUGACGGGUAGCCGGCCUGAGAGGGUGACCGGCCACAUUGGGACUGAGAUACGGCCCAGACUCCUACGGGAGGCAGCAGUGGGGAAUAUUGCACAAUGGGCGGAAGCCUGAUGCAGCAACGCCGCGUGCGGGAUGACGGCCUUCGGGUUGUAAACCGCUUUCGCCUGUGACGAAGCGUGAGUGACGGUAAUGGAUAAAGAAGCACCAGCUAACUACGUG